UGCCAGACUCCUACGGGAGGCAGCAGUCGGGAAUAUUGCACAAUGGAGGAAACUCUGAUGCAGUGACACCGCGUAUAGGAAGAAGGUUUUCGGAUUGUAAACUAUUUUAGACGGGGAAGAAAAAAGACAGUACCUGUAGAAUAAGCUCCGGCUAACUACGUGCCAGCAGCCGCGGUAAUACGUAGGGAGCAAGCGUUAUCCGGAAUUAUUGGGUGUAAAGGGUGCGUAGACGGGACAGCAAGUUAGUUGUGAAAUCCUAUGGCUUAACCAUAGAACUGCAUUUGAAACUGUUAUUCUAGAGUAUGGGAGAGGUAGGUGGAAUUCUUGGUGUAGGGGUAAAAUCCGUAGAGAUCAAGAGGAAUACUCAUUGCGAAGGCGACCUGCUAGAACAUAACUGACGCUGAUGCGCGAAAGCGUGGGGAGCAAACAGGAUUAGAUACCCCAGUA
rnacentral:rRNA from 1 species